rnacentral:tRNA from 1 species
UCCCAGGUGGUUCAGUAGUAAAGAAUCUACCUGCGAAGCAGGAGACGCAGGUUCGAUUCCUGGGUUGGGAA